AUUGAACGCUGGCGGCAGGCCUAACACAUGCAAGUCGAACGAGUGGCGGACGGGUGAGUAAUGUCUGGGAAACUGCCUGAUGGAGGGGGAUAACUACUGGAAACGGUAGCUAAUACCGCAUACCAUCAGAUGUGCCCAGAUUGGAUUAGCUUGUUGGUGGGGUAACGGCUAACCAAGGCGACGAUCCCUCGCUGGUCUGAGAGGAUGACCAGCGACACGGGAAUGGAGACACGGUACAAACCCCUCCGCGAGGCAGAAGGGGGGAAUAUUGCACAAUGGGCGCAAGCCUGAUGUAGCCAUGCCGCGUGUAUGAAGAAGGCCUUCGGGUUGUAAAGUACUGUCAGCGGGGAGGCGGUACCCGCAUAAGCAGCACCGGCUAACUCCGUGCCAGCAGCCGCGGUAAUUC
rnacentral:rRNA from 1 species